UACAGAGGGGGCAAGCGUUGUUCGGAAUUACUGGGCGUAAAGGGCGCGUAGGCGGCCUGUUAAGUCGAACGUGAAAUCCCCGGGCUCAACCCGGGAACUGCGUCCGAUACUGGCAGGCUUGAAUUCGGGAGAGGGAUGUGGAAUUCCAGGUGUAGCGGUGAAAUGCGUAGAUAUCUGGAGGAACACCGGUGGUGUAGACGGCUUUCUGGUCCGAUUCUGACGCUGAGGCGCGAAAGCGUGGGGAGCGAUCCGG
rnacentral:rRNA from 1 species